CCGACAACUUGGGAGUCAGUUUUCCAAAAAGUCAUUGAUGACUGGAAAAGUCAGCUGAAAACCCGAAUAAAAAUAAGUAAUGAUGAAAAAAAUUUGUUGAAGUGGCGAAGUAAACUGACGCCUAACGAAUGCUUCGACUACAUGAGUGGUCACAGGUAUGAACUCGACAGAUUGUACGAAACUACUAAUUUAUGCGAAUAUUACCAGUUAAACUACCAGAUCUCCUUAAUAGAACUUCCAAAAAUAGCUAAAGAACUUUCCGCGAAAAGUUCUCCUACCAAUUCUAAGGAAUCUCCCGUGAGUGC